rnacentral:piRNA from 1 species
UAGACAGCAGGAGAAAAGGAAACUUA